CUGGCUGUCCCAGCGGAAGGGCGCCGUGUUACCCAGCGACGCGGUUACUCUUUCGCCCGUAGCUCCCCGUCCUUUGAGGCAGUUGGUUGUGAUCUCAAGCUUGUAUCUGGAAGCAGCUUGAUUGUUACCUUUACAGAAAAUCUGCAGGUGCUGGAAAUCCAAAGCAACAUGCACGAGGUGCUGGAGGAACUCAGCAGGCCAGGCAGCGUCUAUAGAAAAGAGUAAUCAGUCGAUGUUUCAUGCUGGGUCCCUUCGUCAGGAGUUGUCACAGCAUUUUCCACAAGUGCCCAUUGGUAGAACACAAAAAUUAAGGCCCUUCGUAGAAUCUCCGCCUUGGCACUGUAUCGAAGGAAUUUAAUUAUUAUUGAGCGUGGCUUAUCUGCUCUAAAUCAGACACUACAACAUCAGGCACACUGAGACAGAGGAGCUGAGAGAAGGGGAUGGUAUUUUUAUAAGCGCAGAAUGGACAGCACAGAAGUCUGGUGAUUUUUAUUUAGACCAGAUAUUUUUACCUUGUUCAUUGGAAGCUGUGCGUUUCUUCAUUUCAACACGCUGUCGGUCAACAGAUGCAUUUGGAACUGUACCAUAGAUCUCAAGAGAAUUCCAGCAUCCGUACACUUCAGUGUCUGCACAAUGAAUGCCCUGCUUUACUGGUGGGCUAGGCACAAACCCGUGUCAAUCAUGGGGAAGGAAGGAUACUGGCAACAGUAUGGUAAAGGACUCUGUGUCGAGCCCGGAGUCCAUCCUUUCAGCACGGAAAAGUGAAUGAAAGGUAAUUGGAAAAUGAGACCUGACUACACAAAUAAAGGAUUGCCUCCUCUUCAGCACUCUCUCAAACAACAUGGUAAUCCAAAUUCAUUUUUGUAUAAUUAAUGCCUGCGAACAGAUUCUUGGCUUUUUUUUAAUCAAGAAGAACCAGGACAAGUUUGACAGGAAUGCACAGGAGAUCCAGGAGAUAAUUAACUACAGACAUUCCUGGAGUAGAAGUUCAACAUUCCUCAAGAGAAAGGAAGCAGUCUAUAGACACUGGCUGAGGUUCAGCAGAAAACCUGUAACUUGAAGAACAGAUGUUGGAUAAACAACCUAUUGAGUCCAGUAACAAACUGAUUUUUGCUGUAUGCUUGAGUUCUUCAAUGCUGCCAAGGCCAUUUGAGUGCCGAAGACACUUGGUGAUCUCAAGAGAAGCCACCAAAGGAAGUAAAUUUACUAAGGACAGAGCAUGAUAGAAGGAGUAUUUUGAAGACUUCUUCAAGUGUAAUUCUGUCCUAAUGGAGAUUGCCAUAGACAUCAUCCCGCAGGCUUUUCAAUGGUGCAUUGCCAUGAUUCCUGCCUGACUAAAAAAACUAUCAGGACUUGGGAAGCAGAUGGUAUCCCUUCUGAAGUUCUAGAUCUCUGUGUUGAGGAUAUGUAGUCAAACGUUAGGUAGGUGUUAGGUGACAAAGGGACUGAUAGAAAGAUCCUUUGCUAACUUCAAAGGAUCCUUUGUUUGUGAUCAGUGGUGCAACCACAGGAAUUUGCCCAGGGACACUUAUUUGUAUUUAUAUCAAUUUAGAUUUGAAUGUAAGAGGUAUGAUUAAUAAAUUUGUCAGUGACAUGAAAUUUAGUAGUAUGGUGGGAAACAGGAAAGGUUGUCUUAGGCUGCAGCAGGAUAUUGAUUAGAUCAGAAGUUCUGUAGAGCACUGGUCGCAUUAUAGUGUAGUGGUUAGCACAACACUUUACAGUACCAGCAACCUGGGUUCAGCACCCACCACUGCCUGUAAGGAGUUUGUAUGUUUUCCCUGUGACCACAGAAGUUUCCUCCCACAUUUCAGUGUGUACUAGUUGGCAGGUUAAUUGGUCAUUAUAAGUUGUACCGUGAUUAAACUAGGGGAUUGCUGGGCGGUGUGGCUGCAAUGGCUGGAAGAGCCAACUCCACAUGUACAUCUAUAAAUAAAAUAAAUGGAAACGAUGCCCUACAUCUUCAAAUCUUUGAAAAUUUUCUAUCUCUGCUGAGCUCAAGAUACUUCAUUCCCUAACAAGGGGCAAGUGGUCACAGCAUGCAGUUCAGAAAUGCUUCUAUUUUCAAAAAGCCUGUAAAUGGUGGAGGAAGUACCACAGAAUCAUUUUGCAGAAUGUUAAAAUUUAAAUUUUCUAUUUAAAAGUGAAUCUUGCAGACACUGCACGUAAGACGUUGAUGUAGCCAUGUAGGUCAUUUAAGUGGCAUUCUGAUUCUCGUUUCUGAUCUCAGCAAAAGAUCUUUCGUAAGUGAUCAAAGGUAUUUCCAUUUUUCUCAGAAAAUAUAAUUAAACAUAGAACUAGAAAGGUAUAGAAAAAAAUAAUUUUGGGGAGGGUCCACUUGACCCUGAGUACAGCUGAGAACUAUCUUUAACUACUUCCCACUGCAGUGUCACUAAUUUCCAUCUUAAGUAUUCAGUAAAGAAAGGGUAGACCACAAACUAAAAUAAAUCUCAACUUUUGAAGGCAGUGUAAAAACUAACACUAAAAGAACACGUCAAUGCUAAUGAUAAUGUCAAUCAUGCACAUUACGGAGAACAUAUUUCAAACUGUGUGUGAUUUCACUGGAAAUGAUCAAGAACACAAUUGCAUCUGGACAAACCAGUUUCAUGCAUGAUUUGCGUAUGAAUAAAAUUGUGCAAAUUGCUCCUUUUUUUAAAGCUUCAGUGUAGUCUGGUAUGUAGUUAGCAACCAAAAUAUGUUUGAAAGAAUUCUUUAUGGCUAACAUGAGAGGGCACAGGUUUAAGGUGCUGGGGAGUAGGUACAGAGGAGAUGUCAGGGGUAAGUUUUUACGCAGAGAUUUGUGAGUGCAUGGAAUAGGCUGCUACGAUGGUGGUGGAGGCCGAUACGAUAGGGCCUUUUAAGAGACUCCUGGAUAGGUACAUGGAACUCAGAGAAAUAGAGGGCUAUGGGUAACCCUUGGUAAUUUCUGAAAUAAGUACAUGUUUGGCACAGCAUUGUGGGCUGAAAGGCCAGUAUUGUGUUGUAGGUUUUCUAUGUUUCUAACCAGGUCUACCCUUGUUUUAUUGGAUAUUUGGAAGUUAGAUUAUACUGAAGAUAGCUGUCAGCUAUACUCAGGGUUAAGUGGACACUCAAUGAAAAAGAUUUUUUUCUAUAAAUUUUUUGCUCCGUGUUUUAAUUUCUUUCUGUGAUAAAUGUAAAUAUAGUUGUAUAAGAGCUUAUAAACCAGACAUCAAACGAGAAAGUAACUGCCACUCUCAUAGCACUUUCUUUAAUAUUAAAAUUAAAUUUCAGAACAGAGUGAGGAUUUAAAAAGAUUUGCUAUUUGCAGUGUAACUGUCGUUUCCAUUGAAAUUGGAGCUAGCUGUUGGUUGAACUAAAAUUCAAAGAAAUAUUCAAUAAUGUUUGCAAGGUUUCCUUGAUGAAAGACUGCACUUAGAAUAUUAAUGCUUGAAUACCCACCAUACAUAAGUUUUCUGUAAAUAGACUAUAGCUUUAAUACCUAAUAGAUAGUAGACAUAUAGGAGAAACAGUCUAUUGAAUAAGAUGUAUUUAACUAGGAAACAUCUUUGUGGUUGAGGUUUGACCUUUUAUUUUAAAAUAGUACAUCUAAAUAAGAAUUGAAGUAUUAAAUCAGCAUCACAUGUCUGUUUAUGAUGAAUUACAUUUUUAUGGCUGGCUGUUUAUAAAUAGCAAAAAGCAGAACAUUUGUUAUAAUGUAUAGAGUUAAGUCAUUUGCUUUGUCAAAACAGUAUAACAGAUUAACUACCAAUAUACCAAAAACAGUGUAAUUACAAAAGUCAGGCAAAUUGUUUAUAUAAUGAUCAUGUGUUUACUGUUCGUUAUUGCAAAAUUAGAUUUUUCAAAAGUCUUUGAUUAAUCAAUAUUAAGUGGCAUAGCAAAGAGAACAACAGGAAAUUGGCAACACAUCGUAUUUGGACAAAAUAUAAAAUAGACAGCUGAUUUGCUGUUCCUAUCUGUAUUUAAUGCUGUCAUCCAUUAUAACCACAUAUCACAUAAUUACUUCAUAAACUACAUGGAGUUUUCAUAUUACAAAUAAGUAACAUAAAGCCUUCUUGCUUUCACUGUGAUCACAGCAAUUGUUCAAAUGUAAAGUAAGUGUUUUGGUAAUUUUUCAAAAACAGUUCAAAGACAAUUGUAAAUAUUUCCUUGCAUCAGCUGAUCUGCCAACUGCUGGGAAAAGCUGGUUGAUUGCUGAAAAUCAUUUCCGCUGAAUAUGGAAGUGACUCAUAGUUGUCCUAGAGAGAAGACAUUUUGGCAUGCCUUCUUGAAGUUCAUUGUAGUUCAUGUUUUGGAGUUAUUUCUACAGUGCUGAGCAGGAAGCAGUUCCAGGAUUUUAACCCAAUGGUAGUGAAGGAACAACAAUACAUUUCCAAGUCAGGAUGCUGUGUGCAUGGAGGAGAUCAUCUGGAGUCUUGCGUGUUCACAUGUACCUGCUGUUCCUAUCACUCCUGGUGGUAGCUGUGCUGUUGAAGACCGGAGCUAUCCGGUAAAUAGCCACCUCAUGGGGUUCAAAUAACAGAGAUAGUGAUUGUUUAUGUCCAUUAGUCUUGUUCUUGUGCUUUGGUGGAGCUACACUCAAGCAGGCAUGUGAAAAGAAUUCAUUUAUGCUCCUGUCCUUGCCUUUGGGAGAUUUCAGAAGUCGCCAUCUUACCGGAAGUCCCCAGAAGAGGCUUUCACUGCAGAAUAUAGUUACUGACUUGAGUUAACAUGAUUGUUCCAGUUAACUUUAUUGUGUAUAGCAUCUCCUAAGAUAUUGUCAGAGGAUUUGACAAUAAUAAUACCAUAGACUGACAAGAGAAAUUUCUAAAUUGUUAUUGGCAUAGUCAUAGUACUGACUGCACACUUCAAAGAAUGUGCAUAUGUGUGUGUGUAUGUAUAUAUAUAUAAAUAAAAUCCAAUGUGUCAGCAUUUCAGUGGAAUAAAGGAAAUUACAAAGACUUGAGAGGGUAACUGACCGAAGUUGACUGGAAAGGGCAUUUGCAGGAAGGAGAGCAGAGCAGUAAUGGCUGGAGUUUCUGCAAAAAAUGAGGGAAGUGCAAGACAGAUACAGAUAUAUUCCAAAUAAGAAGAAAUUUUCAAAGGGAAGAAGCACACUACCAUGGCUGACAAGUGAAGUCAGAGCCAAAGUAAAAGCAAAAGAGAGGGCAUACAAGGAAGCCAAAGCUAGUGGGAAGAUAGAGGAUUGGGAAGCUUAUAAAAACUUGUAGAAGCAAACUAAGAAGGUCAUUAGAAAGGAAAAGAUGAAUUGUGAAAGGAAGCUGGUGACUAAUAUCAAAGAAGAUACUAAAAGCUUUUUUGAGUAUAUAAAGGGUAAAAGAGAGUCAAAGGUAGAUAUAGGACCAAUACAAAAUGACAUGGGAGAUAUUGUAAUGAGAGACGCAGAGAUGGCAGAGUAUUUUGCAUCAGAAGACAUUUACAGUGUACCAGACAUUUAAGAGUGUCAGGGAAGUAAAGUACGUGCAGUGAAAAUUACAACUGAGAAGGUGCUCAGGAAGCUUAAUGAUCUGAGGGUGGGUAAAUCUCCUGGACCUGAUGGAAUGCACCCUCGGGUUCUGAAGGAAGUAGCUGGAGAGAUUGUGGAGGCAUUAACGAUGAUAUUUCAAGAAUAGAUAGACUCUGGCAUUGUAUCAGAUGACUGGAAAAUUGCAAAUGUUACUCCACUUUUUAAGAAGGGUGGGAGGCAGCAGAAAGGAAACUAUAGACCUGUUAGCCUGACAUCAGUGGUUGGGAAGUUUUUGGAAUCAAUUGUUAGGAAUGAGAUUAUGGUGUACCUGAAGGCACAUGACAAGAUAGGCCAAAGUCGGCAUAGUUUCCUGAAAGGAAGAUCCUUCCUGACAAAUCUACUGCAUUUCUUUGAGGAAAUUACAAGCAGGGUAGACAAAGGAGAUGCAAUAGAAGUGGAGUACUUGGAUUUUCAGAAGGCCUUUGACAAAGUGCCACAGAUGAGGCUGCUUAGUAAGAUAAGGGCCCAUGGAAUUAUAGGAAAGUUACUAGUGUGGGUGGAGCAUUGGCUGGUCAGCAGAAAACAGAGAGUGGGAAUAAAGGGAUCCUAUUCUGGCUGGCUGCCGGUUACCAGUGGAGUUCCACAGGAGUCAGUGUUGGGACCACUGCUUUUUACGAUGCAUGUCAAUGAUUUGGACUAUGGUAUUAAUGGAUUUGUGGCUAAAUUUGACAAUGAUACAAAGAUAGGUGGAGGAGCGGGUAGUGUUGAGGAAACAGAAGCCUGCAGAGAGACUUAGAUAGUUUAGGGGAAUGGGCAAAGAAGUAGCAAAUUAAACACAAUGUUGAAAAGUGUGCGGUCAUGCACUUUGGUGGUAGAAAUAAAUGGACAGACCAUUAUUUAGAUGGGGAGAGAAUUCAAAAUGCAGAGAUGCAAAGGGACUUGGGAGUCCUUGUGCAGGAUACCCUAAAGGUUAACCUCCAGGCUGAGUCAGUUGUGAAGAAGGCAAAUGCAAUGUUGGCAUUCAUUUCUAGAGGUAUAGAAUAUAAGAGCAGGGAUGUGAUGUGGAGGCUCUAUAAGGCACUUGAGAGACCACACUUGGAGUACUGUGUGCAAUUUUGGGCUCCUUAUUUUAGAAAGGACAUACUGAUAUUGGAGAGUGUUCAGAGAAGAUUCACGAGAAUGAUUCCAGGAAUGAAAGGGUUACUGUAUGAGAAUGUCUGACAGCUCUUGGGCUAAUAUUCCCUGGAGUUCAGGAGAAUGAGGGGGGAUCUCAAAGAAACAUUCUGAAUGUUAAAAGGCCUGAACAGAUUAGAUAUGGUAAAGUUAUUUCCCAUGGUAGGGGAUUCUAGAACAAGAGGGCAUGACUUCAGGAUUGUAGGACGUCCAUUUAGAAAUGAGAUGCGGAGAAAUGAGGGUGGUAAAUCUAUGGAAUUUGUUGCCACGAGUGGCUGUGGAGGCCAAGUCAUUGGGUGUAUUCAAGGCAGAGAUAUAGGUUCUUGAUUAGCCAGGGCAUUAAAAGGUAUGGGGUGAAGGCAGGAGAGUGGGGAUGACUGGAAUAAUUGGAUCAUCCCAUGAUUGAAUGGCAGAGCAGACUCGAUAGGCCGAAAGGCCUACUUCUGCUCCUGUACCUUAUGGUCUUUAUAUGGAUACAUACAUGCACACACAUAUAUAUACACACACACACACACACACAGGCAUUUUAUAUAUAUAUACAAUUGUUUGCAUUUUAAGGAAACACAGUUGCCACAGCUAGAAUACAAUGUUUAAGCAUUAAAUUUCAAUACUUGAUUUUAUUGAAUGGAGAGUGAAAUUAUGUCCAUAUCCAUUUAUAAAACAUUGUUUAACAUAUUGCACAAAAUGCAUUAUGUCCAUUGAACCAAAUCUUGCUGGAAAAUUAAUAGCGUGUGAUUAAUAGAUUGUUGAUAUGAAAUUAGCCAGCAAAUUCAUUGAAUUAGGAGACACACCUUGAAGAGUGAAUUGUCAGAAACUGCUACACCUCACCAGAAUGUGUUUUGCACAAGAAAAAUUGUUUCAUCAUUGGCAUUCCAAUAUGUUUAAGGAUUUCUACUUUGAUUGGCCAUGGAACUCCUAAGGAUAGUUAAUUUUGGCAACAAUACAGGUAUCUUUUUUUACAAUUGUUUUUGCAAUGGUCAUCAACCACUCAGGCCCAGACUUAAAAUAAUGUAAAUUGAAUAAUGUAAUUUUUAAUGAAAAAAUUAUAUUUAAACUUGUUAUUAUCCUUUUUGUAUCCUGUUGUCUCCUGUUUUUCCUUUUGCGUCUGAAUCAAGUUUUCUGCAUCCUUAUGAAAUCUAUCUUUAACAAAUAAUACAUUGUUUGUGGUCUGUGAGACAUGCUGAGUUUGUAGAGGGUACUUUUUAGAUGAGAAUUUCUCCUAAUUGGACUGUCAAUCAUUAUCUUUAUCAGUGAUUCUUCUGCACCUUUCCUCAGAAAUCUAAGUGUUCCUUUGUCUUCUAGACUUGCAAAUUACAACAAAAUAAUAUUUUGAGUGAGAGGGGCAGGGGGAGCAUUUAACAGUGUUCAGGUGUUUCCAUUCCAGCAAGUUCCAGACUGAUAUUUACCAUUCAAGAUGUGCUAGAAACCAAUAGCAAUUUCAUUAACUUUAUCAAAUAUAUACACAUACAGAAAUUUGCAUACCCAUGAUUUUGAAGUUUAAAAUCCAAAAAUGUUUAGCUGUUUUAAUUAUUUUCAUUCAUUGCUGAAAAACAAACUC